UUUAGGCUGGGCGCACCAAAUGUGCGCCUAAGGUUUAGGCGCUGCUUAUGCUGGUUGGUAGAUCGGUGUGUUUGGCCCUAGCGUGAGAAUGUUUGGAAGAUCAUGGGAUGGAUUUAGCAACUCGCGGUUUGGUUGGAUUUAAGAUUCUAGGGUUUAGUUACUGCUGAAUUGGAGCAUGCGCUCGUCAGGUUUUUUUUUUUAUCGGAUUUACCGACAUGGGUGUCUAAGGCUGAAUACUACUCGCGUCCAUACGUUUAGAGGAUUUGUGUUCAUUGCGAGGAUUCCAUAGUAAAAAGACGCAUAAAUUGCGUACUGUGCUUAGGUCCAACCGUUGGUUGCUUCAGGUGCGCAUAUAAAAUUCGCAACCACCGCCUGGCCUUAGAAACAGUGCCUUCAAUUUUGAGAAGUUUCGUGUGUACUGCAUUGAUAUGGAUUGGAGAAUACAUGGUGAUGUUUAGCUGAGUGCUAAGCUAGGUUAUGCAGUUCUCAGUUUAGCUACCAUCAUUUAGGGAUAAGCUUUGGAUGCAAGGUUGUGAUCUUCUGAUAACUAUCUGAAUAGGAUGUCAAGGAGCCUCACCUAUCUGUUGGGAUAAUGGAACUAUGAAACUGGUAAAUACAUGGUGAUGUUUAGCUGAGUGCUAAGCUAGGUUAUGCAGUUCUCAGUUUAGCUACCAUCAUUUAGGGAUAAGCUUUGGAUGCAAGGUUGUGAUCUUCUGAUAACUAUCUGAAUAGGAUGUCAAGGAGCCUCACAUAUCUGUUGGGAUAAUGGAACUAUGAAACUGGUAAAACAAGCACAGUUGCUGCUCACUGGAUAAGAACACUGCAAAAGUUAAUCAAAAUAAUGUCGUGAAAUUUAGACACAGUGUUCAUGUCAUCUUUCUAAUGCAUUGGCACUUGCUGCU
rnacentral:lncRNA from 1 species